CAGGCUACACAUGCAGUCGAGCGGUAGCACAGAGAGCUUGCUCUCGGGUGACGAGCGGCGGACGGGUGAGUAAUGUCUGGGAAACUGCCUGAUGGAGGGGGAUAACUACUGGAAACGGUAGCUAAUACCGCAUAAUGUCGCAAGACCAAAGUGGGGGACCUUCGGGCCUCAUGCCAUCAGAUGUGCCCAGAUGGGAUUAGCUAGUAGGUGGGGUAACGGCUCACCUAGGCGACGAUCCCUAGCUGGUCUGAGAGGAUGACCAGCCACACUGGAACUGAGACACGGUCCAGACUCCUACGGGAGGCAGCAGUGGGGAAUAUUGCACAAUGGGCGCAAGCCUGAUGCAGCCAUGCCGCGUGUGUGAAGAAGGCCUUCGGGUUGUAAAGCACUUUCAGCGGGGAGGAAGGCGAUAAGGUUAAUAACCUUGUCGAUUGACGUUACCCGCAGAAGAAGCACCGGCUAACUCCGUGCCAGCAGCCGCGGUAAUACGGAGGGUGCAAGCGUUAAUCGGAAUUACUGGGCGUAAAGCGCACGCAGGCGGUCUGUCAAGUCGGAUGUGAAAUCCCCGGGCUCAACCUGGGAACUGCAUUCGAAACUGGCAGGCUAGAGUCUUGUAGAGGGGGGUAGAAUUCCAGGUGUAGCGGUGAAAUGCGUAGAGAUCUGGAGGAAUACCGGUGGCGAAGGCGGCCCCCUGGACAAAGACUGACGCUCAGGUGCGAAAGCGUGGGGAGCAAACAGGAUUAGAUACCCUGGUAGUCCACGCCGUAAACGAUGUCGAUUUGGAGGUUGUGCCCUUGAGGCGUGGCUUCCGGAGCUAACGCGUUAAAUCGACCGCCUGGGGAGUACGGCCGCAAGGUUAAAACUCAAAUGAAUUGACGGGGGCCCGCACAAGCGGUGGAGCAUGUGGUUUAAUUCGAUGCAACGCGAAGAACCUUACCUGGUCUUGACAUCCACAGAACUUUCCAGAGAUGGAUUGGUGCCUUCGGGAACUGUGAGACAGGUGCUGCAUGGCUGUCGUCAGCUCGUGUUGUGAAAUGUUGGGUUAAGUCCCGCAACGAGCGCAACCCUUAUCCUUUGUUGCCAGCGGUUCGGCCGGGAACUCAAAGGAGACUGCCAGUGAUAAACUGGAGGAAGGUGGGGAUGACGUCAAGUCAUCAUGGCCCUUACGACCAGGGCUACACACGUGCUACAAUGGCAUAUACAAAGAGAAGCGACCUCGCGAGAGCAAGCGGACCUCAUAAAGUAUGUCGUAGUCCGGAUUGGAGUCUGCAACUCGACUCCAUGAAGUCGGAAUCGCUAGUAAUCGUAGAUCAGAAUGCUACGGUGAAUACGUUCCCGGGCCUUGUACACACCGCCCGUCACACCAUGGGAGUGGGUUGCAAAAGAAGUAGGUAGCUUAACCUUCGGGAGG
rnacentral:rRNA from 1 species